rnacentral:rRNA from 1 species
CUUGGUCAUUUAGAGGAAGUAAAAGUCGUAACAAGGUUUCCGUAGGUGAACCUGCGGAAGGAUCAUUAAUGGGAUUGACCCUCUGGGUCUAACCUCCAACCCUUUGUUUUUACAACCCUUGUUUCUUUGGCGGGUUCGCCCGUCAGAAGAAUUCUCAAACUCAUAUGAAUCGUGUCUUCUGAAAUACAAAAUCAAAUAAAAUUAAAACUUUCAACAACGGAUCUCUUGGUUCUGGCAUCGAUGAAGAACGCAGCGAAAUGCGAUAAGUAAUGUGAAUUACAGAAUUCAGUGAAUCAUCGAAUCUUUGAACGCAUAUUGCGCCCUUUGGUAUUCCGAAGGGCAUGCCUGUUCGAGCGUCAUUUUGACCACUUAAGCCUGGCUUAGUGUUGGGAAUCUACGUUUGUAGCUCCUUAAAUCUAGUGGCGGAGCCGCAGUGGCCUCUGAGCGUAGUAAUUUUUUCUCGCUUUGGAAGGUUCUGUAGUUUUUGCCAUAAAACCCCCAAUUUUUUAAGGUUGACCUCGGAUCAGGUAGGAAUACCCGCUGAACUUAAGCAUAUCAAUAAGGGGAGGAA